CAACGUGGCCGAGCACCAGCCAUCAGAGAGACGUGAGGCACCUGGGAAGGGCUGGGCUUUGGGGCAGCCCUGAGAUUAUACUCUGGCCCCGUGGCUUAUCCUCUCUGGACUCCAGCUCUCCCGUCUGCUCUGCAGAUUAGUAAUUCUCACACUCCAGGCUAUUAUGAAGAUUGGAUGACCUGCUGUACAUGAAAUAAUCUCCCACGGUGCAUCACACCUGGCAGCAGGUUACUCCUUGACUCUGUCUUUACAUGUAUAUGAUUUUAAAGGAAAGACUGUUAGAAGUCCAACGCAAUCAUUUUACAGUGAAGCCAAGAAGAUGCCGGAGAAGUACAUGGACUUGGAAAGCAAGGGCUGAGGUUCACAUCCCAGUAAACUAAGUAACUUAGCAACUUAGAGCAAGUUCUUUAAUUUCUGGAAGCCACAUUCCUUCUCAGAAAAAUAAGGAUAAUAAUACCUUUCUGUUGGAGAUCUUCUGAGGAAUGAACGCCAAGGUGGAGUGUAAACACACGACAGCUGGCUGGAGGGAAGCUUGACUGCACCUCGGAGAAUGUGCUCUGUACCCACCACGGCUCCUCACUCUCCAUCUCUCGCCUCGUGUUGUCUCCCUGACAUUUAACCUCACCUGAAAUUGCUCAUGUGUGUACUCAUUGGUUUUAUUCUUCCCCUUGCUCCACCAAAAAGUAACUGACCCACUCUGGCCCAGCACCUAGGGCUGCAUCUGGCAAUCAGUGGCACUGAGUAAACAUCUGUGGAAUUGCUAGGCAGGUUAGAUAGAAAUGAGCACUGGGUAGAGGGAGUGGAGGAGGAGAGGAACAAUCCAGAAAACGGCAGUGUGUCUGCAUUCAAGAAAACGGACUCCAGAAAUUUUUACUUUCUCUAAAUGAGGGCCAGCAAAAGAAGCCAGUUAAAAUCAAAACACUGCAGCUGCGCGUAAGAGAAGGACUCCGGGUAACCUGACCCAACGAACCUGCCCCAAAGGGGAUGGGAGUGCCAGACCGCAGGGAACCAGAGUUGUCAAUCGGCCUGAGCACAAGGAACCUGAGCUAUCAAUCAGUCUAAUCACUCAAAGAACCUGAGCCACAAAUCAAUCAAUCACGAAAAAGCCCCUGAGCCAGGAUAUAACAACAGGAAGAACAAAGGAAUGGCGCCGUUUUCCCUUUUUCCCUUUCGUGGAUUGGCCUGCUCUCAAUUCUCGGGCGUGUACCAUCUUUUCACUAAUAAAAAUCUUGUUUAUG